rnacentral:rRNA from 1 species
GUGGGGUAAUGGCCUACCAAGACUUUGAUCUAUAGCUGAUCUGAGAGGAUGAUCAGCCACAUUGGGACUGAGACACGGCCCAAACUCCUACGGGAGGCAGCAGUAGGGAAUAUUGCACAAUGGAGGAAACUCUGAUGCAGCGAUGCCGCGUGAGUGAAGAAGGCCUUUGGGUUGUAAAGCUCUUUCGUCGGGGAAGAAAAUGACUGUACCCGAAUAAGAAGGUCCGGCUAACUUCGUGCCAGCAGCCGCGGUAAUACGAAGGGACCUAGCGUAGUUCGGAAUUACUGGGCUUAAAGAGUUCGUAGGUGGUUAAAAAAGUUGGUGGUGAAAUCCCAGAGCUUAACUCUGGAACUGCCAUCAAAACUUUUUAGCUAGAGUAUGAUAGAGGAAAGCAGAAUUUCUAGUGUAGAGGUGAAAUUCGUAGAUAUUAGAAAGAAUACCAAUUGCGAAGGCAGCUUUCUGGAUCAUUACUGACGCUGAGGAACGAAAGCAUGGGUAGCGAAGAGGAUUAGAUACCCUCGUAGUCCAUGCCGUAAACGAUGUGUGUUAGACGUUGGAAAUUUAUUUUCAGUGUCGCAGCGAAAGCAUUAAACACACCGCCUGGGGAGUACGACCGCAAGGUUAAAACUCAAAUGAAUUGACGGGGACCCGCACAAGUAGUGGAGCAUGUGGUUUAAUUCGAAGAUACGCGCAGAACCUUACCAACACUUGACAUGUUCGUCGCGACUCUAAGAGAUUAGAGUUUUCGGUUCGGCCGGACGAAACACAGGUGCUGCAUGGCUGUCGUCAGCUCGUGUCGUGAGAUGUUGGGUUAAGUCCCGCAACGAGCGCAACCCUCACUUUUAGUUGCCAUCAUUUAGUUGGGCACUCUGAAAGAACUGCCAGUGAUAAGCUGGAGGAAGGUGGGGAUGACGUCAAGUCCU